GUGCAAUGGCAUAAGCCAGCUUGACUGCGAGCGUGACGGCGCGAGCAGGUGCGAAAGCAGGUCAUAGUGAUCCGGUGGUUCUGAAUGGAAGGGCCAUCGCUCAACGGAUAAAAGGUACUCCGGGGAUAACAGGCUGAUACCGCCCAAGAGUUCAUAUCGACGGCGGUGUUUGGCACCUCGAUGUCGGCUCAUCACAUCCUGGGGCUGAAGUAGGUCCCAAGGGUAUGGCUGUUCGCCAUUUAAAGUGGUACGCGAGCUGGGUUUAGAACGUCGUGAGACAGUUCGGUCCCUAUCUGCCGUGGGCGCUGGAGAACUGAGGGGGGCUGCUCCUAGUACGAGAGGACCGGAGUGGACGCAUCACUGGUGUUCGGGUUGUCAUGCCAAUGGCACUGCCCGGUAGCUAAAUGCGGAAGAGAUAAGUGCUGAAAGCAUCUAAGCACGAAACUUGCCCCGAGAUGAGUUCUCCCUGACUCCUUGAGAGUCCUGAAGGAACGUUGA
rnacentral:rRNA from 1 species